CUUGUGAUAUAAAUUUUCUACGCCAUCUUCUCCAAGACCUAAAAGCCAUUCUUUGGAAUGCAAACUGUAGGGAAAAGUGUGUCAUCAGGAAAAAAAAAAAAUAGAGGGAGAUAUUUGAAAAAUGUGCCUUUAAGGUCCUCUCCACAAAUAUUAGACACAUUGGAAACAUUGCUUAUAUUACCAGAACUUUGACUGAACUGUUGUGUCUGAGAAAGACACGCACAGACGCAGAUAUGACCACAUAGCUUUAAGCAACUAAGAUUGACUUUAUGGGGCCUGUAACAGCUCUUGAAGAUACCAACCUGAUAACUUGCCUACACAGUUCCCAGCAGCCUUACCAGGUGAGUAAAGAAGGUGACUUCUUUUUAAAUUUAAUUUAUUUUUUAAAUUAACAUAUAAUAUA
rnacentral:lncRNA from 1 species